rnacentral:rRNA from 1 species
GAUGAACGCUGGCGGCAUGCCUUACACAUGCAAGUCGAACGGCAGCACGGGGCAACCUGGUGGCGAGUGGCGAACGGGUGAGUAAUGCAUCGGAACGUGCCAUUGAGUGGGGGAUAACGUAGCGAAAGUUGCGCUAAUACCGCAUAUUCUGUGAGCAGGAAAGCAGGGGGACCGCAAGGCCUUGCGCUCUUUGAGCGGCCGAUGUCAGAUUAGCUAGUUGGUGAGGUAACGGCUUACCAAGGCGACGAUCUGUAGCGGGUCUGAGAGGAUGAUCCGCCACACUGGAACUGAGACACGGUCCAGACUCCUACGGGAGGCAGCAGUGGGGAAUUUUGGACAAUGGGCGCAAGCCUGAUCCAGCCAUGCCGCGUGAGUGAAGAAGGCC